rnacentral:tRNA from 1 species
CACAGUGUAGCUUAAUGUAAAGCAUCUGGCCUACACCCAGAAGACUUCAUUAUUUAUGAACACUUUGA